UGGGGAAUCUUCGGCAAUGGGCGAAAGCCUGACCGAGCCAUGCCGCGUGAGUGAUGAAGGCCUUAGGGUUGUAAAGCUCUUUCAUCAGGGAAGAUAAUGACGGUACCUGAAGAAGAAGCCCCGGCUAACUUCGUGCCAGCAGCCGCGGUAAUACGAAGGGGGCUAGCGUUGUUCGGAAUCACUGGGCGUAAAGCGCACGUAGGCGGAUUGUUAAGUCGGGGGUGAAAUCCCGGGGCUCAACCCCGGAACUGCCUCCGAUACUGGCAAUCUUGAGUUCGAGAGAGGUGAGUGGAAUUCCGAGUGUAGAGGUGAAAUUCGUAGAUAUUCGGAGGAACACCAGUGGCGAAGGCGGCUCACUGGCUCGAUACUGACGCUGAGGUGCGAAAGCGUGGGGAGCAAACAGGAUUAGAUACCCCCGUAGUCC
rnacentral:rRNA from 1 species